rnacentral:rRNA from 1 species
GUGAAGAAGGUUUUCGGAUCGUAAAACUCUGUUAUUAGGGAAGAACAAAUGCGUAAGUAACUGUGCGCAUCUUGACGGUACCUAAUCAGAAAGCCACGGCUAACUACGUGCCAGCAGCCGCGGUAAUACGUAGGGCGCAAGCGUNUCCCUUAAGUCUGAUGUGAAAGCCCACGGCUCAACCGUGGAGGGUCAUUGGAAACUGGGGGACUUGAGUG